ACUCCUACGGGAGGCUGCAGUAGGGAAUAUUGGUCAAUGGGCGAGGGCCUGAACCAGCCAUGCCGCGUGCAGGAAGACGGCCUUCUGGGUUGUAAACUGCUUUUGGCCGGGAACAAAAAGCCCCUGCGGGGGAAAUUGAGUGUACCGGCAGAAUAAGCACCGGCUAACUCCGUGCCAGCAGCCGCGGUAAUACGGAGGGUGCAAGCGUUGUCCGGAUUUAUUGGGUUUAAAGGGUGCGUAGGCGGGCCAAUAAGUCAGUGGUGAAAGCCCACAGCUCAACUGUGGAACCGCCAUUGAUACUGUUGGCCUUGAGUACCGUUGGGGCAGGCGGAAUUUAUGGUGUAGCGGUGAAAUGCAUAGAUACCAUAAAGAACACCGAUAGCGUAGGCAGCUUGCUAAACGGUAACUGACGCUGAGGCACGAAAGCAUGGGGAGCGAACAGGAUUAGAUACCCUGGUAGUCCAUGCCGUAAACGAUGAUUACCCGAUGUGCGCGAUACACUGUGCGCGUCCAAGCGAA
rnacentral:rRNA from 1 species